UACGAAGGGGGCUAGCGUUGCUCGGAAUCACUGGGCGUAAAGCGCACGUAGGCGGGUCGUUAAGUCGGGGGUGAAAUCCUGGAGCUCAACUCCAGAACUGCCUUCGAUACUGGCGAUCUUGAGUCUGGGAGAGGUGAGUGGAAUUCCGAGUGUAGAGGUGGAAUUCGUAGAUAUUCGGAAGAACACCAGUGGCGAAGGCGGCUCACUGGACUGGUAUUGACGCUGAGGUGCGAAAGCGUGGGGAGCAAACAGG
rnacentral:rRNA from 1 species